AUAGACCUAUUUUAAGAUGUCUUCUAAACAUCUAUUUGACAUCUGAUAGGAAACGAUCUAUAGAUGUAUUGCAGAUGAGCAAACUCUUUAAAGAUUACGUCUUGCAGAUGCAAAUGCAGACGUCAUAUAGACAUCUCUGUGAUGAACGAUCGCUAUCAGGCAGGCAAUCGGAGGCCUUCAGAUGAGUCAUCGCUGAAAGUUUUGUUUAUUCUGCUCUCGCAAAUCCUCUCAUCGUAAACAACAAAGUGCAGAUGUACGUACGAUGUAAGUAAGAGAUUAUUUGUACAGUAUUUAGACAGCUUCAUUGAUUAUAACGGGAGUUUUUUGAGAGUGCUUAAACUUCUAAUGAAAGGUUAGCAAACCAAACAUCAUCUAAACGCACAUAAUUAUUGACGCAAUACAGUUUUAAAUACUAUAAUGUAGAUUUAAAAGCAUAUACAUGCCAUUAAACUAAAUGUGCAUGUAAUUUACAUUUACAUUUUUUU